rfam:Arabidopsis lyrata subsp. lyrata unplaced genomic scaffold ARALYscaffold_1, whole genome shotgun sequence.
ACGACCUUACUUGAACAGGAUCUGUUCUAUAGGCUCGUACCUCUGUUUCCUUGAUUUCUAAGGAGACAGGCCCUUAACCCUGGUUGAUGAACCAUGACCGUGCGAUCAGAGCGUGAUUAACGGCUACGAUCGUCUUCGGACGCAUCCGAUGCUGUAGAGGAUCGUUACUCGGCUCGGUCUUCCUUGCCGGGGUGGUCGCACGGCGGUCUGACAGGUU